rnacentral:pre_miRNA from 1 species
AGUGGGAUAGCUGGGUCAAACGGUGGUUCCGUUCCAAGUUUUCUGAGGAAUCUCCAUACUGCUUUCCAGAGUGGUUGCACCAAUUUGCAGUCCCACCAGCAAU